rnacentral:rRNA from 1 species
UACGUAGGUGGCAAGCGUUGUCCGGAUUUACUGGGCGUAAAGAGCGCGCAGGCGGUCGUUUAAGUCGAAUGUGAAAGCCCCCGGCUCAACUGGGGAGGGUCAUUCGAUACUGAUCGACUUGAAGGCAGGAGAGAGAAGUGGAAUUCCCGGUGUAGUGGUGAAAUGCGUAGAUAUCGGAAGGAACACCUGUGGCGAAAGCGGCUCACUGGACCAUAACUGACGCUGAUGCACGAAAGCUAGGGGAGCAAACAGG